rnacentral:rRNA from 1 species
GACGAACGCUGGCGGCGUGCUUAACACAUGCAAGUCGAACGGAAAGGCCCUGCUUUUGUGUGGUGCUCGAGUGGCGAACGGGUGAGUAACACGUGAGUCACCUGCCCUUGACUUUGGGAUAACUUCAGGAAACUGGGGCUAAUACCGGAUAGGAGCUCCUGCUGCAUGGUGGGGGUUGGAAAGUUUCGGCGGUUGGGGAUGGACUCGCGGCUUAUCAGCUUGUUGGUGGGGUAGUGGCUUACCAAGGCUUUGACGGGUAGCCGGCCUGAGAGGGUGACCGGCCACAUUGGGACUGAGAUACGGCCCAGACUCCUACGGGAGGCAGCAGUGGGGAAUAUUGCACAAUGGGCGGAAGCCUGAUGCAGAAACGCCGCGUGCGGGAUGACGGCCUUCGGGUUGUAAACCGCUUUCGCCUGUGACGAAGCGUGAGUGACGGUAAUGGGUAAAGAAGCACCGGCUAACUACGUG